UACGUAGGGGGCAAGCGUUGUCCGGAAUCAUUGGGCGUAAAGAGCGUGUAGGCGGCUCGGUAAGUCCGCUCUGAAAGCCCGGGGCUCAACCCCGGGAGGCGGAUGGAUACUGCUUGGCUCGAGUCCGGAAGAGGCGAGUGGAAUUCCCGGUGUAGCGGUGGAAUGCGCAGAUAUCAGGAAGAACACCCGUGGCGAAGGCGGCUCUCUGGAACGCAACUGACGCUGAGACGCGAAAGCGUGGGGAGCAAACAGG
rnacentral:rRNA from 1 species